GGUUCCAUAGUGUAGUGGUUAGCACAUCUGCUUUACAUGCAAAAGGUCCUGGAUUCAUGUCCCAGUGGAGCCA
rnacentral:tRNA from 1 species